AUGACCGCCUGGGCGGCGCUCCUGGCCGUCGUCCUGGCGCUGUCGUGCGCGCGGGAGCGGCGGCUGCUGGCGGCCGACGCGGCCGUGGGGGUCAACUGGGGCACCCUGUCGUCGCACCGCGCGCCGCCGGCGGUGGUGGUGGACCUCCUGCGCGCGAACCGGAUCGGGAAGGUCAAGCUCUUCGACGCCGACGCCGGCGUGCUGCGCGCGCUCGCGCGCAGCGGCAUCGAGGUCAUGGUCGGCCUCACCAACGGCGAGCUCGCCGGCAUCGCGGGGUCGCCGGCGGCCGCCGACGCCUGGGUCGCGCAGAACGUCUCGCGCUACGUCGGCCGCGGCGGCGGCGUCGACAUCCGGUAUAUUGCUGUGGGAAAUGAGCCAUUUCUGACAAGCUACCAGGGUCAAUUUCUGUCAUACGUUAUUCCAGCAAUGGCAAACAUUCAGCAAUCACUGGUGAAGGCUAAUCUUGCUAGCUACGUGAAGCUAGUAGUCCCGUGCAACGCCGACGCAUAUGAGGGCGCCGUUCCGUCGCAAGGAGUGUUCAGGACUGAAUUGACCCAGAUAAUGACCCAGCUCGCCGCUUAUCUCAGUUCAAAUGGAGCUCCGUUCGUGGUCAAUAUCUACCCAUUCCUCAGUCUUUACCAGAAUUCCGACUUCCCAGAAGAUUAUGCCUUCUUUGAGGGAUCAACUCAUCCACUUGUAGAUGGCUCCAACGUGUACUACAAUGCUUUCGACGGCAAUUUCGACACGUUGAUUUCUGCUCUGGGUAAACUCGGCUACGGGCAACUACCCAUUGCAAUUGGUGAGGUGGGUUGGCCGACUCAGGGAGCACCAAGUGCAAACUUGACUGCAGCAAGGGCAUUCAACCAAGGGCUCAUCAACCGUAUCAUGAGCAACAAAGGGACUCCCCUCCGCCCUGGUGUACCCCCAGCUGAUGUCUAUCUUUUUGGCCUUCUUGAUGAGGAGCAGAAGAGUACCCUACCUGGAAACUUUGAGCGACACUGGGGGAUCUUCUCGUUUGAUGGGCAGGCCAAGUACCCGUUAAACCUUGGGUUAGGCAACCCGGUGCUGAAGAAUGCUAAAGAGGUGCCCUAUCUUCCGUCGCGGUGGUGCGUCGCGAACCCGGCUCAGAGCCUCGACAACGCGUCAACUCACCUGAAGCUUGCUUGCGACAUGGCGGAUUGCACCACCCUCUACUACGGAGGGUCGUGCAACGGCAUCGGGGAGAAGGGCAACGUCUCCUUUGCUUUCAACAGCUACUACCAGAUGCAGAAGCAGGAUGCCAAGAGCUGUGAUUUUGAUGGGCAUGGGCUGAUAACUUUCCUUGAUCCAUCUAUGGGUGAAUGCCGCUUUCUUGUUGGCAUCGAUGAUAGCAAGAGCUCUGCGGUUGCCUCUUGUGGCAAUUGCUGUGGGGUCUUCUGUGGGGUGUCGAUUUUCGCUUUGUGGUUGUUCAUGUACCUUAGGAUGAUGAGCUCUGCCUGA
rnacentral:rRNA from 1 species